UCCGCAAAGCGUGUUUGAGAACGAUGUUCGGAAAGCUGACACCCUUCAAACGGGCGGUGCGGAUGUAUUGCGCCGUCAUCACUUCGGCCAUCGACGCGCGGGUCAUCCGGGCGAUAUAGCCCAUGCCGUAAAGCGCGAUGGUCAUGACGGGCAGAGUAAAGUUUUCGAAAGUCGCGUUU
rnacentral:ncRNA from 1 species